GAUGAACGCUGACCGAAUGCUUAACACAUGCAAGUCCACUUGAAUUUGGGUUUUUAACUUAGGUUUGGGUGGCGGACGGGUGAGUAACGCGUAAAGAACUUGCCUCACAGCUAGGGACAACAUUUGGAAACGAAUGCUAAUACCUAAUAUUAUGAUAAUAGGGCAUCCUAUAAUUAUGAAAGCUAUAAGCGCUGUGAGAGAGCUUUGCGUCCCAUUAGCUAGUUGGAGAGGUAACGGCUCACCAAGGCGUUGAUGGGUAGCCGGCCUGAGAGGGUGAUCGGCCACAAGGGGACUGAGACACGGCCCUUACUCCUACGGGAGGCAGCAGUGGGGAAUAUUGGACAAUGGACCGAGAGUCUGAUCCAGCAAUUCUGUGUGCACGAUGAAGUUUUUCGGAAUGUAAAGUGCUUUCAGUUGGGAAGAAACAAAUGACGGUACCAACAGAAGAAGAGACGGCUAAAUACGUG
rnacentral:rRNA from 1 species